rnacentral:rRNA from 1 species
CAGCUAGACGGUGAGGUAAUGGCUCACCGUGGCGAUGACGGGUAGCCGGCCUGAGAGGGUGACCGGCCACACUGGGACUGAGACACGGCCCAGACUCCUACGGGAGGCAGCAGUGGGGAAUAUUGCACAAUGGGCGCAAGCCUGAUGCAGCGACGCCGCGUGCGGGAUGACGGCCUUCGGGUUGUAAACCGCUUUCAGCAGGGAAGAAGCCUUUCGGGGUGACGGUACCUGCAGAAGAAGCGCCGGCUAACUACGUGCCAGCAGCCGCGGUAAUACGUAGGGCGCGAGCGUUAUCCGGAAUUAUUGGGCGUAAAGAGCUCGUAGGCGGUUUGCCGCGUCUGCUGUGAAAGCCCGGGGCUUAACCCCGGGUGUGCAGUGGGUACGGGCAGACUAGAGUGCAGUAGGGGAGACUGGAAUUCCUGGUGUAGCGGUGAAAUGCGCAGAUAUCAGGAGGAACACCGAUGGCGAAGGCAGGUCUCUGGGCUGUUACUGACGCUGAGGAGCGAAAGCAUGGGGAGCGAACAGGAUUAGAUACCCUGGUAGUCCAUGCCGU